CGGGGGGUCGAUGGAGGCGGUAUGGGGCGGUGUGGGGCGAUGUGGGGCGAUGUGGGGCGCGGGACCCCCCCGUCCUCCGCUGCUUCUCUCCCGCAGGACCUGCAGGAGAGAACGGCGGCGCUGCUGAGGAGGAGUGAAGCUGUGCUGAAUCAGCGCCUGCGGACCCCCCGGACCCACCCAGCUCCGCCCCUUUGUGGGCGUGGCCAACCGGCCGGUGGGCGGAGCCUGGAUGAGGACCCACUGCAGUGCUGGAGGGCAAACAGGAGGCGGGGCUUCACAGAAGCCCCUCCCCCUGUGACGUCAGCACGGAGGCGGAGCCAAUCGUUGGAGGCAGCGAGAGGGGCGGAGCCACGGCGGCAAAGGAGCCAAUCAGAUGAGACCGUCCCUCCAGCGCCGUGGGGCAGCGCCGUGGGGCAGCAAGCGGCCGCCAUCGAACUGCUGCAGGAAGCAAUGGAUUCGGAUGAGGCGGAGGCGGCGGAGGAUGCGGUGCUGCAGGCGCUGAGGGAUCGACGGCGGAGACUGCGGGGGAUGCUGAGGUGUGGGGCUGCCCCAUAAGUGGGGGUCUGACCCAUAAGUAGGGGUCUGACCCAUAAGUGUGGGUCCGACCUGUCCGUGGAAGCGCAGUUGGCCGCCCCGCCCCCCCCGCAGUAAAACCUCCGCGCCAUUUUUUGUCCUCAUUUCUCCGUUUUUCG
rnacentral:lncRNA from 1 species